rnacentral:rRNA from 1 species
UACGUAGGGGGGCAAGCGUUGUCCGGAAUUAUUGGGCGUAAAGAGCGUGUAGGCGGUCCGGUAAGUCAGCUGUGAAAGUCAAGGGCUCAACCCUUGAAAGCCGGUUGAUACUGUCGGGCUAGAGUCCGGAAGAGGCGAGUGGAACUCCUGGUGUAGCGGUGGAAUGCGCAGAUAUCAGGAAGAACACCAACGGCGAAGGCAGCUCGCUGGGACGGUACUGACGCUGAGGCGCGAAAGCGUGGGGAGCAAACAGG